rnacentral:rRNA from 1 species
UGGGGAUGCUUCCGCAAUGGACGAAAGUCUGACGGAGCAACGCCGCGUGAGUGAUGACGGCCUUCGGGUUGUAAAGCUCUGUUAAUCGGGACGAAUGGUUCUUGUGCAAAUAGUGCGAGGAUUUGACGGUACCGGAAUAGAAAGCCACGGCUAACUACGUGCCAGCAGCCGCGGUAAUACGUAGGUGGCAAGCGUUGUCCGGAAUUAUUGGGCGUAAAGGGCGCGCAGGUGGAUUGGUCAGUCUGUCUUAAAAGUUCGGGGCUUAACCCCGUGGUGAGAUGGGAACUGCCAAUCUAGAGUAUCGGAGAGGAAAGUGGAAUUCCUAGUGUAGCGGGGAAAUGCAUAGAUAUUAGGAAGAACACCCAUGGCGAAGGCGACUUUCUGGACGAAAACUGACGCUGGGUCGCGAAAGCAAGGGGGGCGAACAAG